UACGGAGGGUGCGAGCGUUAUCCGGAUUCACUGGGUUUAAAGGGAGCGCAGGCGGAUUUGUAAGUCAGUGGUGAAAGGCUUAAGCUUAACUUGGGAACUGCCAUUGAUACUAUAAGUCUUGAAUGUUGUUGAGGUUUGCGGAAUGGGUCAUGUAGCGGUGAAAUGCAUAGAUAUGACCCGGAACACCUAUUGCGAAGGCAGCAGGCUAAACAAAUAUUGACGCUGAGGCUCGAAAGCGUGGGGAUCAAACAGG
rnacentral:rRNA from 1 species